rnacentral:rRNA from 1 species
GCAAGAUGAGUUUGAUCCUGGCUCAGGAUGAACGCUGGCGGCGUGCUUAACACAUGCAAGUUGAACGAAGCUCUUGGAACCUAUUCCUUCGGGGAGAAGUUUUAUUAGACUUAGUGGCGAACGGGUGAGUAACACGUGAGCAACCGACCCCUGACAGUGGAAUAACAACGGGAAACCGUUGCUAAUACCGCAUAAUAUCCUGUUACGGCAUCGUAAUGGGAUCAAAGAUUUUAUCGGUCAGGGACGGGCUCGCGUCCGAUUAGGUAGUAGGUAAGGUAACGGCUUACCUAGCCUGCGAUCGGUAGCCGGACUGAGAGGUCGAUCGGCCACAUUGGGACUGAGACACGGCCCAGACUCCUACGGGAGGCAGCAGUGGGGAAUAUUGGGCAAUGGGGGCAACCCUGACCCAGCGACGCCGCGUGAAGGACGAAGGCAUUCGUGUUGUAAACUUCUUUGGAGAGGGACGAAGAUGACGGUACCUCUCGUACAAGCCACGGCUAACUACGUGCCAGCAGCCGCGGUAAUACGUAGGUGGCAAGCGUUAUCCGGAAUUACUGGGUGUAAAGGGCGCGCAGGCGGCCCUGCAAGUCGGAUGUGAAAGAUCAAGGCUCAACCUUGACAUGCCAUUCGAAACUGUGGGACUUGAGUGUCAGAGGGGAAAGUGGAAUUCCUAGUGGAGCGGUAAAAUGCGCAGAUAUUAGGAGGAGCACCGGUGGCGAAGGCGACUUUCUGGCUGACAACUGACGCUGAGGCGCGAAAGCGUGGGGAGCAAACAGGAUUAGAUACCCUGGUAGUCCACGCCGUAAACGAUGAUUACUAGGUGUAGGGGGUAUCGACUCCCUCUGUGCCACAGUUAACGCAUUAAGUAAUCCACCUGGGGAGUACGGCCGCAAGGUUAAAACUCAAAGGAAUUGACGGGGGCCCGCACAAGCAGUGGAGUAUGUGGAUUAAUUCGAGGCAACGCGAAGAACCUUACCAGGGCUUGACAUCUCCUGAAGACACAAGAGAUUGUGUUGUCCCUUCGGGGCAGGAAGACAGGUGGUGCAUGGUUGUCGUCAGCUCGUGUCGUGAGAUGUUCGGCUAAGUCCGGCAACGAGCGCAACCCCUGUGGCCAGUUGCCAUCAUUUGGUUGGGCACUCUGGCAAGACCGCCGUUAACAAAACGGAGGAAGGUGGGGAUGACGUCAAAUCAUCAUGCCCCUUAUGUCCUGGGCUUCACACGUACUACAAUGGUAACAACAGAGGGCUGCCACACCGCGAGGUGGAGCGAAUCCCAAAAUGUUAUCUCAGUUCGGAUUGCAGGCUGAAACUCGCCUGCAUGAAGCAGGAAUUGCUAGUAAUGGCAGGUCAGCAUACUGCCGUGAAUACGUUCCCGGGCCUUGUACACACCGCCCGUCACACCAUGAGAGUUUGUAACACCCGAAGUCAGUAGUCUAACCCAGCAAUGGGAGGGCGCUGCCGAAGGUGGGACAGAUGAUUGGGGUGAAGUCGUAACAAGGUAGCCACUUCUAGAAGUCUCAUACAUCCGCUU